rnacentral:lncRNA from 1 species
AGGUGAUUUCCUUAUUGUACUGCAUUUUUUAUCCCCAAGUAUUUGCCUUCUCAUGUAGCUAGAAAAUUCAUUCCGCAUAUUUCUUGCUUCAUCUCUAAUGGGUUCCGAUUUAAUAUUUCCUAAACAUCUGACAUGUAGUAAGACUCAAAAUGGUAUUAUCUAGGGGAUCCUUGCAGUAGUAAUUUUAGAAUCAUAUGUCAAAAUUAUGUAAGUAACUUUUGGAAUGUGUUGAACGCUGUAAUAUUAGCACGUUUUUGGGCAGUAAACGUAAUCUGAAGCCAUGGGUUCAAUUAUUUAAAAUCAUUUUCGUAGCUAUACUGAAAACAAUAAUAAAAAUUCUAUGAUGAACACAGCAUAAACUUUCAUAGGUUCGGUCUGUUGCUUUAUUAUGGUUAGGGUGCGGAAAUCAAGUUGGUUUUGAGUGUGUUCUCAAAUUUGUUCAUGGAUGUUAGAUUUCCUAAUAAAUUGAAGACAGACCACAAACUACAUUCGCAUGACAUUAUUUUAUGCAGUGUGGACAAGGAAAUAGAGAAGACCUGCUGAGACCAACUUGUGUGACUUCUCUAUCGGGGACUCAGAUUGAAACAGUUGCAGCUGGGUUGUGGCAUACUAUAUGCAUCUGCAAAGAUGGUUGUGUCUAUGCUUUUGGUGGAAAUCAGUUUGGGCAAUUGGGUUUGGGAACAAAUUCUGAUCAAUGUGAGGUAUAUUCUCUGCUUAUUGUCUGAUGUACUGGAUCUGAACCUGAUACAAAUGCACUGUCUGUUCUUUUCUAUAGACUUCAUCAGAAACCAUGAGUAUGAUGUACUACUCAUUUUAGCAGUAGUGCUCUGCAACAAGGAUUAGCAGGUCCCAAACUACUCAAAGUAAUCCACUCUUACAUCAGUUGCAGCUUCAACAGCCUUCUAAAAUGUUGGUUUCUAGAAAUUGAAUCCCUUCUUUUUAAGUCUUGUUGAGUCCUCUAGUGAAUCCUCCAUUGCUUAAGAAAAAGUGAAGAAUAGUAGCUUUGGUAUAGUGCUUACUGCUUAGAAAUUUGAUGCUGAUGAUAGUCAAAAGAAACGGUUAUCUUGACUUGAAAACUUAAUAGCUUGAUGACUCCAUUAUUUCAGGUAAAGGUGAAGUGUACACAUGGGGUUGGAAGGAGUGUGUUCCACCUGGAAAAGUUACUUGUAGUUGGACAAGUAUGAAAACCUUUGAAAGGAACAGGUCUGCAAAACAAAGUUCUACACUGACUGAGCAAGGUAUCUUAGAAAGAGUAUAUCUUAUGAGGCCUACCUUCGGCUAGAAGUGUGCAUACAAAUAUAUCGGGUACUGGACGCUAACACCUGAUAUUGUUUGUAAUAGGGAGCCCACAGUCUCAAGGUCCAAAACCUUCUGUCGGAUCACUUUCUUGUUCAGAUGAUAAAAACAUUGAAGAUGAAAGUAUAAAGAGAAGAAAGGUAUCAACUCAAGAAGAAUCUGAAAUAUCAAUCCCUGCUGAAGAAACACUUUCAGCGCCACCUUGUCUUGUAAUGCUGGAUCCCCUGGUGAAAAUUACAUCUGUUGCUGCUGGUGGGCGACAUACGUUGGCAUUGUCAGGUAAAUCAACUCCUUCCUGUGUGCUGCAGUGCACCAAAUUAACAUUUUAGGCUAGGUGCUACUUCUUUGUGGUUACAAAUUAUAGUUUUGUAGGUCAUAUGAAGUAUGAAGCUAUGAAGAUCUUUAAUGUAAAGCAAGAGGUCUUAAAUGUAAAGCAAGAUACCUGAUUCAUCAUAUUUUUACCGGAUUUAGAUGUAGGACAGGUAUGGGGUUGGGGCUAUGGAGGUGACGGGCAGCUAGGUUUGGGCAACCGGGUAAAAACAGUGGCUUCUCCUCAUCUCAUUCCGUGUAUUGAUCCAUCUUCAUGCAUAAAAGACAAACCUGAUGUGGUUCAUCAAGAAAGUGAGAGUGCAGCAGCUCAGUCUCAUAAUUCUGUAGGGAAUUACAUAAGGGCCGUUGCUUGUGGAGGCAGGCACAGUGCAGUAAUAACAGGUGAGUCAUGAAGAAUUGUUAUGUGGUAAUAUUGCUUUGUAGCAAUUUUAGCCCAUUUCUUUUGUAAGGUCUUUCUUUUUUUGGUUAUCAGAUGCUGGUGUGCUGAUUGCUUUUGGCUGGGGUUUAUAUGGACAGGUGAUUUCCUUAUUGUACUGCAUUUUUUAUCCCCAAGUAUUUGCCUUCUCAUGUAGCUAGAAAAUUCAUUCCGCAUAUUUCUUGCUUCAUCUCUAAUGGGUUCCGAUUUAAUAUUUCCUAAACAUCUGACAUGUAGUAAGACUCAAAAUGGUAUUAUCUAGGGGAUCCUUGCAGUAGUAAUUUUAGAAUCAUAUGUCAAAAUUAUGUAAGUAACUUUUGGAAUGUGUUGAACGCUGUAAUAUUAGCACGUUUUUGGGCAGUAAACGUAAUCUGAAGCCAUGGGUUCAAUUAUUUAAAAUCAUUUUCGUAGCUAUACUGAAAACAAUAAUAAAAAUUCUAUGAUGAACACAGCAUAAACUUUCAUAGGUUCGGUCUGUUGCUUUAUUAUGGUUAGGGUGCGGAAAUCAAGUUGGUUUUGAGUGUGUUCUCAAAUUUGUCCAUGGAUGUUAGAUUUCCUAAUAAAUUGAAGACAGACCACAAACUACAUUCGCAUGACAUUAUUUUAUGCAGUGUGGACAAGGAAAUAGAGAAGACCUGCUGAGACCAACUUGUGUGACUUCUCUAUCGGGGACUCAGAUUGAAACAGUUGCAGCUGGGUUGUGGCAUACUAUAUGCAUCUGCAAAGAUGGUUGUGUCUAUGCUUUUGGUGGAAAUCAGUUUGGGCAAUUGGGUUUGGGAACAAAUUCUGAUCAAUGUGAGGUAUAUUCUCUGCUUAUUGUCUGAUGUACUGGAUCUGAACCUGAUACAAAUGCACUGUCUGUUCUUUUCUAUAGACUUCAUCAGAAACCAUGAGUAUGAUGUACUACUCAUUUUAGCAGUAGUGCUCUGCAACAAGGAUUAGCAGGUCCCAAACUACUCAAAGUAAUCCACUCUUACAUCAGUUGCAGCUUCAACAGCCUUCUAAAAUGUUGGUUUCUAGAAAUUGAAUCCCUUCUUGAAAUCAGAUUACACUUUGCAGUAUUUAUCAAAAUUGUUGCGUUAUUUGGUUGAUAGUCUCUGCUUUAUUCUAAAGAAGUUACGUACUUUAAAGAUAGUGAUUAAAAAGUGUACUUUGGUACUCGACAGCUU